rnacentral:rRNA from 1 species
AACGAACGCUGGCGGCAGGCUUAACACAUGCAAGUCGAACGCAUCCUUCGGGGUGAGUGGCAGACGGGUGAGUAACGCGUGGGAACGUGCCCUUCAGUUCGGGAUAACCCAGGGAAACUAGGGCUAAUACCGGAUACGUGCGAGAGCAGAAAGAUGUAUCGCUGAAGGAUCGGCCCGCGUUGGAUUAGCUAGUUGGUGGGGUAAUGGCCCACCAAGGCGACGAGCAGUAGCUGGUCUGAGAGGAUGAUCAGCCACAUUGGGACUGAGACACGGCCCAAACACCUACUGGAGGCAGCAGUGUGGAAUAUUGGACAAUGGGCGCAAGCCUGAUCCAGCCGUGCCGCGUGAGUGAUGAAGGCCUUAGGGUUGUAAAGCUCUUUCGUCCGGGACGAUAAUGACGGUACCGGAAGAAGAAGCCCCGGCUAACUUCGUGCCAGCCGCCGCCGUAA